AUGUUGUUAUCCGUGAUUCAGGCCCUUGACCUGCGUGCGGACGCGGUGGGUCUUUCUCCUGACAAGUGGCUCUCCCGGUAUGACCUGGAAGACCAACUCUCCUUGAUUUACACGAAUGAGAAGGCCUAUUGGCGCCUCCAUGGUGCCCAGAAAUGGGUCUUGAAGGGCGACACGAAUACGACAUACUUCCAGGCCAUUGCCAACGGCCGCCGUAGACGCAACACCAUCGCUCUCUUGUGGUAUGGUGAGACUCUCCUUCAAGACCCCCGCGACAUCCGGUCCCACAUCGACGGGUUCUAUAGAUCCUUAUUCUCUGCCUCUAGUAGCGGCCUCUCCCUUGCUCCCCAUUGUUGGUCUGGUCCCCAGUUGGUGCCUGAUUCAGAGACCGCGGCCCUUACGGUCCCCUUUUCCGAGCAGGAGGUCUGGGAUGCCAUCAAGAGCAUGAAGCCAUCCUCGGUGCCGGGAUCGGACGACCUCCCGGUUAAAUUUUUCCAGACCUUCUGGAACGUGAUUAAACCGAAGGUCAUGGCCAUCUUCGACGAGUUCUACAUGGGCUCCAUCAAUCUCUGGCGUCUCAACUAUGGGAUCAUCUCUCUCAUCCCCAAGGUUCCUGGUGCAUCCGACAUUCGUCAAUUCCGCCCGAUCACGGUCACUAACAUGAUCUUCCGGAUCAUGGACAAAGGGUACGCCAAUAGGGUGACCCUGCUGGCUGACCGUGUGACGCACCCCAACUAG
rnacentral:rRNA from 1 species